CGUUUCAAGCGGGCGCUGAAAAGGGAAAACGGUGCAAAACCGUUGCAGCCCCCGCUGCUGUGAGGCGGAUUGCAAACGCUCAUGCCACUGUGCUUCGCAUGGGAAGGCGCGUUUGUGAGAGGAAGCCGAGCCAGAAGACCUGCCUUUGAGA
rnacentral:ncRNA from 1 species